rnacentral:rRNA from 1 species
GUAGGUGGCAAGCGUUGUCCGGAAUUAUUGGGCGUAAAGCGCGCGCAGGUGGUUCUUUAAGUCUGAUGUGAAAGCCCCCGGCUCAACCGGGGAGGGUCAUUGGAAACUGGGGAACUUGAGUGCAGGAGAGGAAAGUGGAAUUCCACGUGUAGCGGUGAAAUGCGUAGAUAUGUGGAGGAACACCAGUGGCGAAGGCGACUUUCUGGCCUGUAACUGACACUGAGGCGCGAAAGCGAGGGGAGCAAACAGGGAUUAGAUACCCUGGUAGUCCACGCCGUAAACGAUGAGUGCUAAGUGUUGGGGGGGUUUCCCGCCCCUCAGUGCUGCAGCUAACGCAUUAAGCACUCCGCCUGGGGAUACGGUCGCAAGACUG